rnacentral:rRNA from 1 species
AUACGUAGGUGGCGAGCGUUGUUCGGAUUCAUUGGGCGUAAAGGGUUCGCAGGGGGUCGAUUAAGUCUGAUGUGAAAUCCCUGAGCUCAACUCAGGAACUGCAUUGGAGACUGGUUGACUAGAGCAUCGGAGAGGAGAUUGGAAUUCCAGGUGUAGCGGUGGAAUGCGUAGAUAUCUGGAAGAACACCGAAAGCGAAGGCAGAUCUCUGGACGAUCGCUGACCCUCAGGAACGAAAGCGUGGGGAGCAAACAGGAUUAGAUACCCUGGUAGUCCACGCCCUAAACGUUGUGAACUUGAUGUGACAGGAUUUACUCCCUGUCGCGUCGUAGCUAACGCGAUAAGUUCACCGCCUGGGAACUACGGCCGCAAGGCUAAA